rnacentral:rRNA from 1 species
AUGAACGCUGGCGGCGUGCUUAACACAUGCCAGUCGAACGAUGAAGCCCAGCUUGCUGGGUGGAUUAGUGGCGAACGGGUGAGUAACACGUGAGUAACCUGCCCUUAACUCUGGGAUAAGCCUGGGAAACUGGGUCUAAUACCGGAUAGGAGCGCCUACCGCAUGGUGGGUGUUGGAAAGAUUUAUCGGUUUUGGAUGGACUCGCGGCCUAUCAGCUUGUUGGUGAGGUAAUGGCUCACCAAGGCGACGACGGGUAGCCGGCCUGAGAGGGUGACCGGCCACACUGGGCCUGAGACACGGCCCAGACUCCUACGGGAGGCAGCAGUGGGGAAUAUUGCACAAUGGGCGCAAGCCUGAUGCAGCGACGCCGCGUGAGGGAUGACGGCCUUCGGGUUGUAAACCUCUUUCAGUAGGGAAGAAGCGAAAGUGACGGUACCUGCAGAAGAAGCACCGGCUAACUACGUG